rnacentral:lncRNA from 1 species
CUCCUGCUUCAGCCUCUCCAGUCGCUGUGAUUACAGGUGUGUGCCACCACACCCAGCUAAUUUUUGUAUUUUUUUUAGUUGGUUGAAUCCACAGAUAUGGAACUCAUGGAUAUGGAGGGUGACUGUAUAUACAAGUCGUCUGUACCCUGGGGGUUUUGCAAUAUAGUUAUUUGUCCUAGGGUUAGUUAGGCCAGGAGAGAAGUGAUAGAAGUUGAGAUCACUUGUCUCACUAACAAUGUGUUUCUCAGUUUGUUUUCUUCUAGGUCAGACAUCAGAUUUAACUUUAGUUCUACACAGUUGGUCAAUUACUUAAUUUCAUGGUUGCCUUACACUAUACUACCUUCCCAGUCAUAAGAAACAAUUGUGACAGAAGGAAACUGGAAACUAAAUGGUACCUUUCAGAUUGGAGUAGUGGAGAAGAGGACUGUGGUUGGAGGUUGAGGUCAAGAAUCCAGAAGAGCGCCUCUGGUCAGUGCUAGCCAGGGGAAUGUGCGGCCCCAGGCCACCAUGUGUGGAGGUGGUAAAGGAUCUUGGGUAAUCACCAUGAGCUGGAGACAGACCUGGUCUCCAGGCUCUUCCCUGAAAGUCUUCUCUUCUUGCUUUUAAGAUCUGAUGUGAC